rnacentral:rRNA from 1 species
GAUGAACGCUGGCGGCGUGCCUAAUACAUGCAAGUCGAGCGAACAGAUGAGGAGCUUGCUCCUCUGACGUUAGCGGCGGACGGGUGAGUAACACGUGGAUAACCUACCUAUAAGACUGGGAUAACUUCGGGAAACCGGAGCUAAUACCGGAUAAUAUAUUGAACCGCAUGGUUCAAUAGUGAAAGACGGUUUUGCUGUCACUUAUAGAUGGAUCCGCGCCGCAUUAGCUAGUUGGUAAGGUAACGGCUAACCAAGGAAACGAUGCGUAGCCGACCUGAGAGGGUGAUCGGCCACACUGGAACUGAGACACGGUCCAGACUCCUACGGGAGGCAGCAGUAGGGAAUCUUCCGCAAUGGGCGAAAGCCUGACGGAGCACCGCCGCGUGAGUGAUGAAGGUCUUCGGAUCGUAAAACUCUGUUAUUAGGGAAGAACAAGUGUGUAAGUAACUAUGCACGUCUUGACGGUACCUAAUCAGAAAGCCACGGCUAACUACGUG